CAUGCCAGUGUUGAGGGGAUGUAACACUGUUGAUGUCAAUAGUUAGUUGUGACAUCAGUAGAAGCAAGAUUGUUGUGUCUAUGCCUGUCAGAGCUGGCCCAUCCUUCUAUAAACAGAUAGCUAAGGGUUAAUGUUCUUUUACCUGUAAAGGGUUAACAAAAAGUGACCUUAAACACCUGACCAGAGGACCAAUCAGGAAACAAGACUUUUUCAAAUCUGGGUGGAGGGAAGUUUUGGGUGUGAGUUCUUUGUUCUUUGUCUUGGUUUGGUGACCUCUAUCUCCAGGCUUUCUAAUCUUCUGUUUCCAAGUUGUAAGUACAAGGAUAGUAAGACAAUAGGUUUAUAUUGUUUUUUUGUAUUUACAUGUGUGUAGUUGCUGGAAUGUGUUAAAUUGUAUUCUGUUUGGAUAAGGCUGUUUAUUCAUUUUUCCUUUUAAGCAAUUGACCUUGUAUAUUGUCACCUUGAUACAGAGACCAAUUUUAUGUCUUUUUCUUUCUUUUUAUAUAAAGCUUUCUUUUU